rnacentral:rRNA from 1 species
UACGGAGGGUGCAAGCGUUAUCCGGAUUCACUGGGUUUAAAGGGUGCGUAGGUGGAUUACUAAGUCAGUGGUGAAAUCUCCGGGCUUAACCCGGAAACUGCCAUUGAUACUAUUAGUCUUGAAUACCGUGGAGGUCAGCGGAAUAUGUCAUGUAGCGGUGAAAUGCUUAGAUAUGACAUAGAACACCAAUUGCGAAGGCAGCUGGCUACACAUAUAUUGACACUGAGGCACGAAAGCGUGGGGAUCAAACAGG